rnacentral:rRNA from 1 species
GUGGGGAAUAUUGGACAAUGGGCGAAAGCCUGAUCCAGCCAUGCCGCGUGUGUGAAGAAGGUCUUCGGAUUGUAAAGCACUUUAAGUUGGGAGGAAGGGCAGUAAGUUAAUACCUUGCUGUUUUGACGUUACCGACAGAAUAAGCACCGGCUAACUUCGUGUCAGCAGCCGCGGUAAUACGAAGGGUGCAAGCGUUAAUCGGAAUUACUGGGCGUAAAGCGCGCGUAGGUGGUUUUGUAAGUUGGAGGUGAAAUCCCCGGGCUCAACCUGGGAACGGCCUCCAAAACUGCAUGACUAGAGUACGGUAGAGGGUAGUGGAAUUUCCUGUGUAGCGGUGAAAUGCGUAGAUAUAGGAAGGAACACCAGUGGCGAAGGCGACUACCUGGACUGAUACUGACACUGAGGUGCGAAAGCGUGGGGAUCAAACAGGAUUAGAAACCCCAGUAGUCC